UCUAAUCAAACUAUUGUCUCAGUCACAGGGGACUGCUACUUGAUGAUUCCAGAGGUGUAGCGGAGGAUCUAAACGAGACAUUGUGUGUUCAAGACAAGUUUACUGGACUAACUGUAAGUACAGAUAAGAUAAACAGAGUUCAAGGGGGAGAUGAUUCACUUCAAGCGCACUCUGUUUCUCCUAGUCUAAGGUCGCAUAUUCCGAGAAUUAUCACAGGUCCAAGGCAAAUAUUACUAAUCGAUCCAUGAGGAGAAGGUGCAAAAUGGGCGGACAAGAGAUCUACUCACCACUCGACAGGUGAUGUAAAGACGAUAAGUUUUGGUGCAGCAUCAUUCUCUGGGAUUGAUUCAUCCUACAUAUGAGUUUUGGUUGGAUGAUGGGAACGUUCCCCUGCGUCUAGCUCAUCUUUUUAUGAGGUGGGAGAGGACAAGGAACUUUCAGGAGUGGCAAGUGUGGAAAUGAAGAAGCUUUUCCCAUGAAAGAAGAUAGCAAAAGUGACUGAGACUAACAGCAAAUCAAGAAAGAAGUGCGAUGGAGAUGAAGAGGUUGGUGUGGAAAGUAGAAGGUGAAAGACUGAUGGAGAUAUGAAAAGAGAGGGAGAGAAAUGAAUCGAAGAAAGCUGGAGAUGGAGGGAGCUUUACCCCCAUGGAGAUUAGGACAGUGUUGAUCCGCUUGGAGCAUGAGCAUCCACCUUCUCACUCCCACAUACACAAAUUUGAUGCCUGAGGCCCAAGCAAAGC